GAACCAAUCGAGCAUAUCUUUAGUUUGGCUGCAUCAUUUUUCCAUGUGGACUGCUUCCCAAAAAUGAAACCAGAUAAUCUCCAGAAAACUUCAGCAUGACAUCUCAAAGUCCCCUUCUACAGGCAUGGCAGAAAGCCUGUAGCUGUCGUAGGCCGCUAGCGAACAUCCGAGGCCGCCCGUCCUCGCGAAUCUGCGACGUGGGCCAUUCUCAACAUCCAUGACUGUCGUCCCAUUUGGAGGUAACCAGCUACUUCGAGGAAACGCCACAAGCAGCAAAAUCACUUAAUCGUACUUACAUUGCCUAUAUUUCUUCAAGUCUAUCACUGUAGGCUGCUUCUUCUGUCCUUCUUGUAGAAUUGGAAAUAAAAGAAAGUCAUUAUUAUUCAGAUUAAUGUACACAAAUCAAAACAUUUUUAUACACAAUUUUUUUUUAUUUAAACAUUUUCUCAUUGUUGAAGGACUGGUCUGUGAACUUGAAUAUGAAGAACAGCAAUAAAAUAAAAGGGUUUCUUUGUUGUAGACCAAGUAAAUUUGACAUUUUCCAUCUCUUAUUC
rnacentral:lncRNA from 1 species